GCCUCAACUUUACCUAAAUUCUGGUAUCGCUAGCUAAGAUUAGGGCUAGCAGCCAGUGAUCAGAUUAGUAUUUUCUCUGCUUUCCUGUUGAUUGAAUGCUGAUGAAUUUUACCUUAAGGGUUGUUUUCUGGCUGACUGAUUCUGCUUGUGUUCUCUCUGUCUGAGGUGCAGAUAGCAUUGCAGGAUUGACAGCUACAGACCGCAGGGUGCCAGACUGACUGCAAGAUGUCAUGCCUGAAGCUGAUGCAGCACACUGCAGUCUGCGUUUGGAAUGGACUCUGCCGCUUAGAAAGACC